CCCAGACUCCUACGGGAGGCAGCAGUGGGGAAUAUUGCACAAUGGGGGAAACCCUGAUGCAGCGACGCCGCGUGAGUGAAGAAGUAAUUCGUUAUGUAAAGCUCUAUCAGCAGGGAAGAAAAUGACGGUACCUGAGUAAGAAGCACCGGCUAAAUACGUGCCAGCAGCCGCGGUAAUACGUAUGGUGCAAGCGUUAUCCGGAUUUACUGGGUGUAAAGGGAGCGCAGGCGGCACGGCAAGCCUGAUGUGAAAGCCCGCGGCCCAACCGCGGGACUGCAUUGGGAACUACCGGGCUGGAGUGCCGGAGAGGUAGGCGGAAUUCCUAGUGUAGCGGUGAAAUGCGUAGAUAUUAGGAGGAACACCAGUGGCGAAGGCGGCCUGCUGGGCUUUAACUGACGCUGAGGCUCGAAAGCGUGGGGAGCAAACAGGAUUAGAUACCCCCGUAC
rnacentral:rRNA from 1 species